rnacentral:tRNA from 1 species
CCGACGAUAGCUCAGCUGGUAGAGCAGAGGAUUGUAGGGUGGGUGCAUCGCUAUGCCGGUGGUUCGAAACCUCCUCGUCGGA